rnacentral:rRNA from 1 species
GAUGAACGCUGGCGGCGUGCCUAAUACAUGCAAGUCGAGCGAACGGACGAGAAGCUUGCUUCUCUGAUGUUAGCGGCGGACGGGUGAGUAACACGUGGAUAACCUACCUAUAAGACUGGGAUAACUUCGGGAAACCGGAGCUAAUACCGGAUGAUAUUUUGAACCGCAUGGUUCAAAAGUGAAAGACGGUCUUGCUGCCACUUAUAGAUGGAUCCGCGCUGCAUUAGCUAGUUGGUAAGGUAACGGCUUACCAAGGCAACGAUGCAUAGCCGACCUGAGGGGGUGAUCGGCCACACUGGAACUGAGACACGGUCCAGACUCCUACGGGAGGCAGCAGUAGGGAAUCUUCCGCAAUGGGCGAAAGCCUGACGGAGCAACGCCGCGUGAGUGAUGAAGGUCUUCGGAUCGUAAAACUCUGUUAUUAGGGAAGAACAUAUGUGUAAGUAACUGUGCACAUCUUGACGGUACCUAAUCAGAAAGCCACGGCUAACUACGUG